GUAGAAAUCCCUGGGGAUUUUGUUUUUUAAAAUGCAGAUUCUGAUUCAUCAGAUUGAGCCAGGGGAAGAGUCUGCAUUUUUAGCAGACUCCUAGAUGAUGCCAGU
rnacentral:miRNA from 1 species